UACAUGUGGAGCAAGCGUUGUUCGGAUUUACUGGGCGUAAAGGGCGCGUAGGCGGCAAAUUAAGUCAGCUGUGAAAUCUCCGAGCUUAACUCGGAACGGUCAGCUGAUACUGAUCUGCUAGAGUGCGGAAGGGGCAAUCGGAAUUCUUGGUGUAGCGGUGAAAUGCGUAGAUAUCAAGAGGAACACCUGAGGUGAAGACGGGUUGCUGGGCCGACACUGACGCUGAGUGCGCGAAAGCCAGGGGAGCAAACGGG
rnacentral:rRNA from 1 species